rnacentral:tRNA from 1 species
GUGAAUUUAGUUUAAAAGGAAAAAACACCUAACUUGCAAUUAGGAAAUCUAGGUUUAAAUUCUAGAAUUUACA